AUGUUCUCGAGUAGACAAAAUGAUAAGGACAAAUCGAGGAUCUUAUCAGCAGGGAAUACUUGGAACACCUUUAUCCUCCUCAUUUCAUCGGUAAAUUUGUGGUUGACCAGAAAGACGUCAUUCGGAGAAAUUGCUCGGUUACUUGGCGCUUUGACAAGAAUAUUGUACUUUGCACAUGAGAGUGAAUGGAGCAGGCGCACAACGUCGUCAUCGGGUAGAUUUAGUUGCGUCACAAUCUCAGAGUAA
rnacentral:rRNA from 1 species